rnacentral:rRNA from 1 species
AACGAACGCUGGCGGCAUGCCUAACACAUGCAAGUCGAACGAGACCUUCGGGUCUAGUGGCGCACGGGUGCGUAACGCGUGGGAACCUGCCCUUAGGUUCGGAAUAACUCCCCGAAAGGGGUGCUAAUACCAGAUAAUGUCUUCGGACCAAAGAUUUAUCGCCUUUGGAUGGGCCCGCGUUGAAUUAGCUAGUUGGUAGGGUAAAAGCCUACCAAGGCGACGAUCCAUAGCUGGUCUGAGAGGAUGAUCAGCCACACUGGGACUGAGACACGGCCCAGACUCCUACGGGAGGCAGCAGUGGGGAAUAUUGGACAAUGGGCGAAAGCCUGAUCCAGCAAUGCCGCGUGAGUGAUGAAGGCCUUAGGGUUGUAAAGCUCUUUUACCCGGGAUGAUAAUGACAGUACCGGGAGAAUAAGCUCCGGCUAACUCCGUG